rnacentral:rRNA from 2 species
ACGCUGGCGGCGUGCCUAAUACAUGCAAGUCGAGCGAAUCGAUGGGAGCUUGCUCCCUGAGAUUAGCGGCGGACGGGUGAGUAACACGUGGGCAACCUGCCUAUAAGACUGGGAUAACUUCGGGAAACCGGAGCUAAUACCGGAUACGUUCUUUUCUCGCAUGAGAGAAGAUGGAAAGACGGUUUCGGCUGUCACUUAUAGAUGGGCCCGCGGCGCAUUAGCUAGUUGGUGAGGUAAUGGCUCACCAAGGCGACGAUGCGUAGCCGACCUGAGAGGGUGAUCGGCCACACUGGGACUGAGACACGGCCCAGACUCCUACGGGAGGCAGCAGUAGGGAAUCUUCCGCAAUGGACGAAAGUCUGACGGAGCAACGCCGCGUGAACGAAGAAGGCCUUCGGGUCGUAAAGUUCUGUUGUUAGGGAAGAACAAGUACCAGAGUAACUGCUGGUACCUUGACGGUACCUAACCAGAAAGCCA